ACAAUGGAGAGUUUGAUCCUGGCUCAGGACGAACGCUGGCGGCGGGCUUAACACAUGCAAGUCGAAGGAGAAGGUAAGUGCUUGCACUUACUGGAGACUGGCGGACGGGUGAGUAACGCGUAGAUAACCUGCCUAUACCUGGGGGAUAACAUUUCGAAAGGGAUGCUAAUACCGCAUAAUGCAGCGGGGCCGCAUGGCCACAGUUGUUAAAGGUUUCGGCCGGGUAUAGAGGGGUCUGCGUGCUAUUAGUUAGUUGGUGAGGUAACGGCUCACCAAGGCGAUGAUAGCUAGGGGGUCUGAGAGGA
rnacentral:rRNA from 1 species